AGCUGAAGGAACUAACUACCUGUGU
rnacentral:piRNA from 1 species